rnacentral:rRNA from 1 species
AGGAAUAUUGGACAAUGGAGGCAACUCUGAUCCAGCCAUGCCGCGUGCAGGAAGACUGCCCUAUGGGUUGUAAACUGCUUUUAUACAGGAAGAAACCGCUCUACGU